AUUGAACGCUGGCGGCAGGCCUAACACAUGCAAGUCGAGCGGAUGAAGGGAGCUGGCUCCUGGAUUCAGCGGCGGACGGGUGAGUAAUGCCUAGGAAUCUGCCUGGUAGUGGGGGAUAACGUCCGGAAACGGGCGCUAAUACCGCAUACGUCCUGAGGGAGAAAGUGGGGGAUCUUCGGACCUCACGCUAUCAGAUGAGCCUAGGUCGGAUUAGCUAGUUGGUGGGGUAAAGGCCUACCAAGGCGACGAUCCGUAACUGGUCUGAGAGGAUGAUCAGUCACACUGGAACUGAGACACGGUCCAGACUCCUACGGGAGGCAGCAGUGGGGAAUAUUGGACAAUGGGCGAAAGCCUGAUCCAGCCAUGCCGCGUGUGUGAAGAAGGUCUUCGGAUUGUAAAGCACUUUAAGUUGGGAGGAAGGGCAGUAAGUUAAUACCUUGCUGUUUUGACGUUACCAACAGAAUAAGCACCGGCUAACUUCGUG
rnacentral:rRNA from 1 species